GGGGUUGUGGCUCAGAGGUACAGUGCAUGUCUAGCAUGCAGGAGGCACUGGGUUGGAUCCUCAGCACCACA
rnacentral:tRNA from 1 species